UAUAUGUCCAAGGGGUGCCAAAUGGCUGAGAUGGAAAUAACCAAUCCCUUUGAACCUGAUCCGGUUAAUUCCGGCGUAGGAAUGGAUUUUUCUCUACAG
rfam:Rhizobiales bacterium TMED94 85329, whole genome shotgun sequence.